rnacentral:rRNA from 1 species
CCUACGGGUGGCAGCAGUGAGGAAUAUUGGUCAAUGGGCUUACGCCUGAACCAGCCAAGUCGCGUGAGGGAAGACUGCCCUAUGGGUUGUAAACCUCUUUUGUCAGGGAGCAACGCCGGCUACGUGUAGCCGGACUGAGAGUACCCGAAGAAAAAGCAUCGGCUAACUCCGUGCCAGCAGCCGCGGUAAUACGGAGGAUGCGAGCGUUAUCCGGAUUUAUUGGGUUUAAAGGGUGCGGAGUCGGAAUGCCAAGUCAGCGGUAAAAUCGCGGGGCUCAACCGCGCUCCGCCGUUGAGACUUGCGUUGUUGAGUGGGCGAGAAGUAAGCGGAAGUCGUGGUGUUGCGGUGAAAUGCUUAGAUAUCACGAAGAACUUCGAUUGCGAAGGCAGCUCACUGGACUGUAACUGACACUGAGGCUCGAAAGUGUGGGUAUCAAACAGGAUUAGAUACCCUUGUAGUC